AUUGCACGCGGGCGGCAGGCCUAACACAUGCAAGUCGAGCGGAGCGGCGGACGGGUGAGUAAUGCCUAGGAAUCUGCCUGGUAGUGGGGGAUAACGUCCGGAAACGGGCGCUAAUACCGCAUACUCUCAGAUGAGCCUAGGGCGGCUUAGCACGUUGGUGGGGUAAAGGCCUACCAAGGCGACGAUCCGUAACUGGUCGUAGAGGAUGAUCAGUCACACUGGAGCUGAUACACGGGCCAGAUUCCUACGGGAGGCAGCAGUGGGGAAUAUUGGACAAUGGGCGAAAGCCUGAUCCAGCCAUGCCGCGUGUGUGAAGAAGGUCUGCGGAGUGUAAAGCACUUUAAGUUGGGAGGCGUUACCAACAGAAUAAGCACCGGCUAAAUUCGUUCCAGCAGCCGCGGUAAUUC
rnacentral:rRNA from 1 species